rnacentral:rRNA from 1 species
UUAGUUGGUGGAGUGAUUUGUCUGGUUAAUUCCGGUAACGAACGAGACCCCCGCCUGCUAAAUAGAUGUGGGAAUGCGCUUGCAUUGCCGCAACUUCUUAGAGGGACUUUUGGUGACUAACCAAAGGAAGCUGGGGGCAAUAACAGGUCUGUGAUGCCCUUAGAUGUUAUGGGCCGCACGCGCGCUACACUGACGCAUUCAUCGAGUUCUUCCUGCAUCGAGAGGUGUGGGCAAUCUGUUGAACCUGCGUCGUGAUGGGGAUAGAUUAUUGCAAUUAUUAAUCUUCAACGAGGAAUGCCUAGUAAGCGUGAGUCAUCAGCUCGCGUUGAUUACGUCCCUGCCCUUUGUACACACCGCCCGUCGCUACUACCGAUUGAAUGGCUCAGUGAGGCCUUCGGACUGGCU